UUUAUGCCAUUCAUUUCCUUGUAUUAAAUUGGUCGAAUCAAGUAGGUCCAUGCUAUAUAUAUAUGUCCUAGAAUCAAGUAGGACAGGUAGUCUUCUUCCGCCCUUUUUCUGAACACUGUCUCAUUCUAUUGCCAUCUGUGUAUGUUGUGUUAUAUUAAUUCUGCAUAAUUAACUCUAGUUAACCUAGUUAACUCUAUAAUAAUAAAUGAAUUUAAUAUAUAAAUAAAUAAAUAAAAUAUAAAUAAACCAAUAAUAUAUUUGUAGUUUAAUAUGUUUUAUCUUAUCAUUACAGGCAAAGCAUGAAGCCAAAGGAAAUGUUUUUACCAAGGCAUGUUCCUCAAUAGCGGAGAGAGAGUUUUAUCCAGUGUCGGUUCUGCAGAAGAACCCAUUCAUAGCAGACCACCCAUUGCAGCACCUGUAAAGGUCGCUAUAAAGAACCCGACAGACUCUGCGACCAAAAGAUCCCACUGACGUGUCGUCAAGCCUUGACGAAGAUUUCAUCGAUCAUAGUGCACCGGGAUUUUAUCAAAAAUGAGUAAAAGUUGGGGAAAGGCGCCAUCACAUUUUUUGUACUGAUAGACAGAUGCAACUACUCGCACGCGCAAAAACUUGGUAUAUGGAUGCAACUUUUCGGGUGGUGAACAAGCCAUGGUCUCGGCUGUUUUCCAUACACGCCUUCAUUAAGACUGGAGAGACCACCCGACAGUUACCAUUGGUGUUUUGUGUAAUGUCGGGUAAAAGCCAAGACGACUAUUAUAAGUUUCCAUAUUAGAUGCCAUAGCAAAUCAAAGAUCAUAUAAUAAAAUAAGUCAAAAAACCCAAAUAUGGGAAAAGAAAGAGCUGAAGAAAUGGUGAUUUGAGCACCUUUGAUUUCUCAUAGGUGUUUUUGGAGGUUAACUACAUCAGAAAGAUCAAGACAGUUGGAAAUGGCUAUUCAUAUUAUGGAAACUUUUUCUCACAGAGCUUGAUAAUCAGGUAAAAUGCUGGAAGAUUAUUUGAUGUAUGAUAACAACAAGAGAUCCCAAGCAUCAAUUUAUUUUAUAAUUCUGGAAAAGAAUGCAUUUGACCCAAUUUUUGAAUAUUUUUUUUUGUUUUUACUGUUAAAUAUUCAUCCCAAACACAAUUAGAUUUUAAUUCUCUACAGAAAUUUAUGUAUAAUAUAGAAUGUAAAGUGACAUAUAAAUCACUUAGAAUUUGGUCGGAAAUCAUAAAGUAUUUAAUAGGCAUAGUCUAGAAACCAAAUGUAGAUCAAAUAUACCCAGAAUUACAAAAAACCUUGACCUACAUUAAGGUGACUUUCCCUUGCUUAUGAAAUGAAAUAGGGUUUAAUAUCCUACUUUUCUGUGUUAUUAUGGUGAUUCUGCACUACAACCUACUCUUAUAUCAAAUAUUUCAACUGUCAAGGGUUGUUUAAAGGGAACCCAGGAGGGCCGAAUGGUUAACACACGCACAUUGGAUCAGAAGGGUCUGUCAUUGAGUCAGAUAAUUCAAUUGUCAAGGGUUCCUUAAAGUAAACGCAGUGGGGGUAGUUUCAAUUCUGGGCUUAUACCCAAUUAUCCCUUGCCAUGUCCUACACUACUGACGUAUGGGAACUAUGUCGGAAAAUCCAGUUGAAAUUUCUCGGCCAAUGCACUCACUGAACCACAGUGGCUCCUCCUUGCUUUUGACUUGUGAUUAUUUAUAUAUAUUUUGUACAUAUUAUUUAAUGUUUGCGAUUUUCUCUGAUAUUUUUUUAUUUUUCAAUCCUGUAAUCUUGAUGCUUUGCUCCUUUUAUGUACAAAAUAUUCAUUUUGUUUGAGGAAAAGGUUCUACAUCAUUUUAUUACUCCUGCAAAAUAGUGCAUUUUUCUUUUGUUAGUUUUCUGUGUAUGCUAGUUAUUUCUAGAUGCCUCACAAAUCACUUGUAAUAUGACUUUGUAGCACUUUUCAGUUUCUGAAAGUAUUUCAAUUUAGUGCAUAAUUAAUCUAAUUAGGGCUUGGUUUGGAUGUUAUUAAAUUUAGAUAUAUUUGAAUUAUAUAUUUUUGGGGUAUGGGGUAGGGAUCUUUCUUUUCUCAGUUCUUGUUUUCGGGUAAAGAAAAAAUUAAAUAGCUAUUUUGUAUUUUGUGAUGUGGGGGGGAGGGGGGCAAAGUAUAACAAAAUUUUUAUUAGUAUUAGAAUUAUAUCUCUGUUUUUCUGUUAACAUUUCAAAUGAUGUCUAUUUAGUUUUGAUUUGGUGGUGUUAAUUUACUUUUUCCUAUCAUUUUAUGAAUAAAUGAUAAUUUAACAAAUAAAAUUAUUGUUACCUCAUUUAUCAAACUUUACAGGUUAAA